rnacentral:rRNA from 1 species
CAAUAGCGUAUAUUAAAGUUGUUGCAGUUAAAAGCUCGUAGUUGGAUUUCUGGCGUGCGACCCGGGUCGGCCCGAAAUGGGUCUGUACUAGGAGUUGCGCGCCAUCCUUGGGUCGAGGCGUUCUACCAUUAACUUGGCGGUUCGUUGAGACCCAUCGUUUACUGUGAACAAAUUAGAGUGUUUAAAGCAGGCAUAUGCCUUGAAUACAUUAGCAUGGAAUAAUAAGAUAGGACUUCGGUAAUAUUUUGUUGGUUCAUUAUUGAGGUAAUGAUUAAUAGGGAUAGUUGGGGGUAUUCAUAUUCAAUUGUCAGAGGUGAAAUUCUUGGAUUUAUGGAAGAUGAACAACUGCGAAAGCAUUUACCAAGGAUGUUUUCAUUAAUCAAGAACGAAAGUUAGGGGAUCGAAGAUGAUUAGAUACCA